rnacentral:rRNA from 1 species
CAGUGAUGUGGAGUAAAACUUAUAAAAGCGACCUCAGUUCGGGAUUGAAGGCUGAAAUUCGCCUUCAUGAAGUCGGAAUUGCUAGUAAUGGCAGGUCAGCAUACUGCCGUGAAUACGUUCCCGGGCCUUGUACACACCGCCCGUCACACCAUGAGAGUUGGAGAUACCCGAAGCCUAUGAGCUAACUUUUAGAGGCAGUAGUCGAAGGUAGAAUCAAUGAUUGGGGUGAAGUCGUAACAAGGUAUC